rnacentral:SRP_RNA from 1 species
UCGUGCUAGACGGGGAGGUAGCGGUGCCCUGUAACCCGCAAUCCGCUAUAGCGGGGUUGAAUUCCUGCUCGAGGAGUAGCUUUGUAAGGUCUGACUUCGGAAAGUGGUGAUGAGGAUUGGGUCCUACGCAACGGAAAUUUGCGAACCCCGUCAGGGCCGGAAGGAAGCAGCGGUAAGCAAACACUUUCGUGUGCCGUAGGGAUGCCUGGUUUGAGCUAACUACCGGAGUAACGCUUGGAAGGCUAUCUUCGAAGGCAGGUGCACGG